GACGUAGGGGGCCAGCGUUGUUCGGAAUUACUGGGUGUAAAGGGUUCGUAGGCGGUGCGGCAAGUCGGGAGUGAAAUCUCUGGGCUUAACCCAGAGGCUGCUUCCGAAACUGCUGUGCUUGAGUGUGGGAGAGGCGCGUGGAAUUGCAGGUGUAGCGGUGAAAUGCGUAGAUAUCUGGAGGAACACCGGUGGCGAAGGCGGCAUCCUGGACCAACACUGACGCUGAGGAGCGAAAGCCAGGGGAGCAAACGGG
rnacentral:rRNA from 1 species